rnacentral:rRNA from 1 species
GUGGGGAUUAUUGCACAAUGGGGGAAACCCUGAUGCAGCGACGCCGCGUGGAGGAAGAAGGUCUUCGGAUUGUAAACUCCUGUUGUUGAGGAAGAUAAUGACGGUACUCAACAAGGAAGUGACGGCUAACUACGUGCCAGCAGCCGCGGUAAAACGUAGGUCACAAGCGUUGUCCGGAAUUACUGGGUGUAAAGGGAGCGCAGGCGGGAGAACAAGUUGGAAGUGAAAUCCAUGGGCUCAACCCAUGAACUGCUUUCAAAACUGUUUUUCUUGAGUAGUGCAGAGGUGGGCGGAAUUCCCGGUGUAGCGGUGGAAUGCGUAGAUAUCGGGAGGAACACCAGUGGCGAAGGCGGCCUACUGGGCACCAACUGACGCUGAGGCUCGAAAGUGUGGGUAGCAAACAGGAUUAGAAACCCGGGUAGUCC